UGAGGAAUAUUGGUCAAUGGACGCAAGUCUGAACCAGCCAAGCCGCGUGAAGGACGAAGGCUCUAGUAGUCGUAAACUUCUUUUGUAGGGGAAGAAAAAGCAUCACGCGCUGAUGCCCUGACGGUACUCUACGAAUAAGCAUCGGCUAACUCCGUGCCAGCAGCCGCGGUAAUACGGAGGAUGCAGGCGUUAUCCGGAUUUAUUAGGUUUAAAGGGUGCGUAGGCGGGCUUUUAAGUCAGUGGUGAAAACCCUCAGCUUAACUGAGGAACUGCCAUUGAUACUGAAGGUCUUGAAUGCAGUUGAGGCAGGCGGAAUGUGCAGUGUAGCGGUGAAAUGCUUAGAUAUUGCACAGAACACCGAUAGCGAAGGCAGCUUGCUAAACUGUGAUUGACGCUGAUG
rnacentral:rRNA from 1 species